rnacentral:lncRNA from 8 species
NNNNNNNNNNNNNNNNNNNNNNNNNNNNNNNNNNNCCAGCUUGCUUAGGGGGCUCUUCUCCAGGUUCAUCUCUCUGUAGGUGAUGACUCUGUGGGGUGUGUUUGUGAACAGAGCCCCAGGUCCAGCUUGCUAAGGGGACUCCUCUCCAGGUUCAUCUCUCUGUAGGUGAUGGCUUUGUUAUGGAAAGUUUGGGAAUUGCUUCCUUUUAGGUAGAAUUUCUCUUUCUUUCUCUCUUUCAUACUCAUUCUCUCUCUCUCUCUCUUUCAUACUCAUUCUCUCUCUCUCUCUUUCAUACUCAUUCUCUCUCUUUCUCUCUUUCAUACUCAUUCUCUCUCUUUCUCUCUUUCAUACUCAUUCUCUCUCUUUCUUUCAUACUCAUUCUCUCUCUCUCUCUUUCAUACUCAUUCUCUCUUUCAUACUCAUUCUCUCUUUCAUACUCAUUCUCUCUCUCAUACUCAUUCUCAUUCUCUCUCAUACUCAUUCUCUCUUUCAUACUCAUUCUCUCUCUCUCUCUUUCAUACUCAUUCUCUCUUUCUCUCUUUCAUACUCAUUCUCUCUUUCAUACUCAUUCUCUCUUUCAUACUCAUUCUCUCUUUCAUACUCAUUCUCUCUCUCUCUCUUUCAUACUCAUUCUCUCUUUCUCUCUUUCAUACNNNNNNNNNNNNNNNNNNNNUCUCUCUCUCUCUCUCUCUCUCUCUCUCUCUCUCUCUCUCUCUCUCUCUCUCUCUCUCUCUCUCUCUCAUUAAGAUAAGGCUGUCUGUUAUUGAGGAAGGAAUCCGCUUUACCAUAUUACCAUUAUCUACAAUUAGAUCAGAGAGAAACAACAUAGAUUUAAUGACUGCAAUGACAGAACGUCUCUCUCUUUCUCUCGGUUUCUCCCUUUCUCUGGUCUCUCUCUCUCUCUGUUUCUCCCUUUCUCUAGUCUCUCUCUCUCUCUGUUUCUCCCUUUCUCUGGUCUCUCUCUCUCUCUCUCUCUGUUUCUCCCUUUCUCUAGUCUCUCUCUCUCUCUGUUUCUCCCUUUCUCUGGUCUCUCUCUCUCUCUGUUUCUCCCUUUCUCUAGUCUCUCUCUCUCUCUGUUUCUCCCUUUCUCUGGUCUCUCUCUCUCUCUGUUUCUCCCUUUCUCUAGUCUCUCUCUCUCUCUCUGUUUCUCCCUUUCUCUGGUCUCUCUCUCUCAAUUCAACUCAAAGAGGCUUUAUUGGCAUGGGAAAUAUGUUUUAAAUUGCGACAG